rnacentral:rRNA from 1 species
GUGGGGAAUAUUGGACAAUGGGCGCAAGCCUGAUCCAGCCAUGCCGCGUGAGUGAUGAAGGUCUUAGGAUUGUAAAGCUCUUUCACCGAUGAAGAUAAUGACGGUAGUCGGAGAAGAAGCCCCGGCUAACUUCGUGCCAGCAGCCGCGGUAAUACGAAGGGGGCUAGCGUUGUUCGGAAUUACUGGGCGUAAAGCGCACGUAGGCGGGUAUUUAAGUCAGGGGUGAAAUCCCGGAGCUCAACUCCGGAACUGCCUUUGAUACUGGGUACCUAGAGUAUGGAAGAGGUAAGUGGAAUUCCGAGUGUAGAGGUGAAAUUCGUAGAUAUUCGGAGGAACACCAGUGGCGAAGGCGGCUUACUGGUCUGGUACUGACGCUGAGGUGCGAAAGCGUGGGGAGCAAACAGGAUUAGAAACCCGGGUAGUCC